GAUAUAUAAAAAUUUAAACCAUACGCUCGAGCUUAUAAUUUCAACGCCAUAUGAGUUGGACUUUGGUUAAAUAUUAUUCUUUCCCUCUGUCUGUGCUGUUUUUUACCCGAAACGCUAUCGGUGUCAUGUUUGAGAGGAGUCUUCCCUUUGGUGGCCAAAUAGCCUUUCUUCUCCUUCUACUUCUCCAAAUUUGCCAUGGUAAGGAUAAUACUUGUAAACCUUCUUCAUGUGGGAAUAUCCUCAACAUUACUUACCCUUUCCGACUACAGACUGAUCCGAAACACUGUGGUGACUCUAGAUAUUCACUGUCCUGUGAGAACAAUACUACAGUAUUGCAUCUGUACUCAAGAAAAUACUUCGUUCAGGCAAUUAACUACAACAACUACACAAUCCGACUGUUGGAUCCUGGUGUUGUUAAAGAUGAUUGCUCCUCCAUGCCUCUUUUUCCUUUAACUCGUGCUGACUUCCCUGAUGGAGGUCCAUAUACACUGGAUAAGAACUUAUCGGUUUCCGAGUGGACCUUAUUUUCAGCAGGAAUUAUUUUCUUGAACUGUGUCGACCCAGUAAAUUAUCCUUUUUACGUGAACGCUACUUCUUGCAUUAAUAAUGGAGCGAAGUAUUCUUUUGUGAAAAUUUACAAGUUCGGCGGCAUGUCAGGAAUGGAAUGGAUGAGCACGUGCACCAUAGUAACGGCAGCCUUGUUGCCUGCUGAAAGGGAUUAUACGAACAUGUCCUUCGUUGAAGUUCACAGAGAGCUGGCUUACGGGUUCGAAAUUUCAUGGCUGAAUCUGUACUGCGAAAGAUGCGAAUCCAAGCAGUGCUUCUUCAAUGAAAUUGAAAACCGGAUUCAUUGCUUUGAGGAUAUGCCGGGUGCGUAGUCCUCAUCCUUUGAUUGAUUUGAUUUCAUCAUAAUCUUGUUAAUGAUUAAUUUAGAAAUGAUUACUUGUUUACUUCUAGUGUUGAGUUGUUUGUAAUCAAGGGAAAUUAUUGUCUAAAUCCGUUUACUAUCCACCCAAAAUAUAAGAUCUGUAAACCAAAAGCAAGGAUUCUUUUGUGUUGGUUAAAUAGACUUGGUAUGAUGGAGUACUGGUGGCAGAUUUUUAGGAAAUUAAUUAGAGAGAAUUGGUACAGUAGUUUUUCAUAUCUGAAAGUUUCAUACAGCUCUGUUCUGAAAGGCUAGUUCAUGCGGAUUGAAUAGGAUCAAGUUUUCGUUUUUUCUUGCCAUCUAUAUGUUCGAUAAAAUUACUCUUAGAGUUUCUUUUGUUAACUGACUUACAAUCAUGUAAUUCUAACAAAUCUUUUUUUCCAUUCGUGUUAAUAACAAACUUUUCUUAGGCUAUGAAGUACUAUUAUUAUUAUUAGCAAACUUUUAUUAGCAAACUUCCACCAAAAUUCAUUCAAUUCUCCAGUGAAAAAUUUUAAUGCCUACAAUUCCUUUCCUUUUUUAAUUUCUUUCCAGGUGAUUACAAGGAAGUUUGCUACCUCAGUUCCUCUCUUUUCAGACAUGUAGCGCAGUGCUCCUUCUAUAAUGCCUCGUCAAUCUCACACGGCCUAUCCUACCAAAUUAAAAGUGAGUGGUCUCUAUAUCUCCAUCCUAUUGAUGCUAACAUUUCUUUCCAAUCAAGAUUAUAUGGCAGCCUUUGUCAUUAAGUAAUUUACGUUCACAUCUUCUUCAGGGUCAUUGCCAGCUAUACUUGCUUAUCUUGGUAAGUUCUAGGCCUUUUUCUUCAAAUUAUGAAUCUUAAAUCUAUAAGAUUAAAUCUGGAUUUAGAGAUGAAUUCAUAAGAAGGACCUCAAGUAAUCAAGAAGAUCAUAUAUAAUUCCUCUAUGGAUAAUUUUACUACAUAACAGUUAAUAUUCCAUCCUUUGAAUGUAUGUUGUUCAUGCAGGACUGUUUAUUGCCACAAGAACAUUAUGUGGAACUCCAUUUGUAGUUGUGUUUUUGGUCUAUAAAUGGCGAAGGAGGCAUUUAUCGGGAUAUGAAACAAUUGAAGAAUUUCUACAAAAUCAACAGAAUAUGAAACCAAUAAGAUAUUCAUACUCAGACAUUAAGAAAAUGACAGGAGGCUUUAAGGAAAAGUUGGGUGAAGGAGGUUUUGGUUGUGUGUAUAAAGGAAAACUUCGCAGUGGCCAUAUUGCAGCAGUAAAGAUGUUGAGCAAGUCUAAAACUGAUGGACAAGAUUUUAUUAAUGAAGUUGCUACAAUUGGAAGGAUUCACCAUACAAAUGUUGUUCAACUAAUUGGCUUUUGUGCCGAGGGAUCAAAGUAUGCUCUUAUAUAUGAUUUCAUGCCUAAUGGAUCU
rnacentral:misc_RNA from 1 species